rnacentral:rRNA from 1 species
UGGGGAAUAUUCCGCAAUGGACGAAAGUCUGACGGAGCAACGCCGCGUGAGUGAUGAAGGUUUUCGGACUGUAAAGCUCUGUUGUUUAGGACGAAAGUGCCUGUUGCAAAUAGUUACAGGUAUUGACGGUACUGAACGAGGAAGCCACGGCUAACUACGUGCCAGCAGCCGCGGUAAUACGUAGGUGGCAAGCGUUGUCCGGAAUUAUUGGGCGUAAAGAGCAUGUAGGCGGGAAUCUAAGUCUGUUGUGAAAAUGCGGGGCUCAACCCCGUAUUGCGUUGGAAAUUGGUUUCCUUAGGUGAAGGAGAGGAAAGGGGAAUUCCCAGUGUAGCGGUGAAAUGCGUAGAUAUUGGGAGGAACACCAGUGGCGAAGGCGCCUUUCUGGACUGUGUCUGACGCUGAGAUGCGAAAGCCAGGGUAGCCAACGG